rnacentral:rRNA from 1 species
UACGUAGGGUCCAAGCGUUAAUCGGAAUUACUGGGCGUAAAGCGUGCGCAGGCGGCUUUGCAAGUCAGACGUGAAAUCCCCGGGCUUAACCUGGGAAUGGCGUUUGAAACUACGGAGCUGGAGUGUGGCAGAGGGAGGUAGAAUUCCACGUGUAGCGGUGAAAUGCGUAGAUAUGUGGAGGAAUACCGGUGGCGAAGGCGGCCUUCUGGACAGUGACUGACGCUGAGACGCGAAAGCGUGGGGAGCAAACAGG